rnacentral:rRNA from 1 species
CCUACGGGGGGCAGCAGUGGGGAAUAUUGGACAAUGGGGGAAACCCUGAUCCAGCCAUGCCGCGUGUGUGAAGAAGGUCUUAGGAUUGUAAAGCACUUUAAGUUGGGAGGAAGAGCAGUUAACUAAUAUUUGACUGUUUUGACGUUACCGACAGAAUAAGCACCGGCUAACUUCGUGCCAGCAGCCGCGGUAAUACGAAGGGUGCAAGCGUUAAUCGGAAUUACUGGGCGUAAAGUUAACGUAGGUGGUUAAGCCCCGGGCUCAACCUGGGAAUUGCUUCUAAAACUGGCGGGCUAGAGUAUGGUAGAGGGUGGUGGAAUUUCCUGUGUAGCGGUGAAAUGCGUAGAUAUAGGAAGGAACAUCAGUGGCGAAGGCGACCACCUGGACUGAUACUGACACUGAGGUGCGAAAGCGUGGGGAGCAAACAGGAUUAGAUACCCCAGUAGUC